AAAUCUUAGCGGUAGAUCACUUGGCUCGUAUGUUGAUGAAGAAUGCAGCUAGCUGUGAGAAUUAAUGUGAAUUGCAGGACACAUUGACCAUUGACCAUUCGAAGGCACGUGCAGCCCCGGAUUCCUCCCGGGGCUACGCCUGUCUGAGGAUCG